rnacentral:rRNA from 1 species
CCUACGGGGGGCAGCAGUAGGGAAUAUUGCUCAAUGGGGGAAACCCUGAAGCAGCAACGCCGCGUGGAGGAUGAAGGUUUUCGGAUUGUAAACUCCUUUUGUUAGAGAAGAUAAUGACGGUAUCUAACGAAUAAGCACCGGCUAACUCCGUGCCAGCAGCCGCGGUAAUACGGAGGGUGCAAGCGUUACUCGGAAUCACUGGGCGGAAAGAGCGCGUAGGCGGGAUAGCAAGUCAGAUGUGAAAUCCUAUGGCUUAACCAUAGAACUGAAUUUGAAACUGUUAUUCUAGAGUAUGGGAGAGGUAGGUGGAAUUCUUGGUGUAGGGGUAAAAUCCGUAGAGAUCAAGAGGAAUACUCAUUGCGAAGGCGACCUGCUAGAACAUAACUGACGCUGAUGCGCGAAAGCGUGGGGAGCAAACAGGAUUAGAUACCCCAGUAGUC